rnacentral:rRNA from 1 species
GAUGAACGCUAGCGGCAGGCCUAAUACAUGCAAGUCGAACGGGAUCUGAGGGUAGCUUGCUACCCGAUUUGAGAGUGGCGCACGGGUGCGUAACGCGUGAGCAACCUACCCAUAUCAGGGGGACAGCCCGAAGAAAUUCGGAUUAACACCGCAUAAUAAUACGCUAACACAUGUUGAUGUAUUUAAAUAUUUAUAGGAUAUGGAUGGGCUCGCGUGACAUUAGCUAGUUGGUAAGGUAACGGCUUACCAAGGCGACGAUGUCUAGGGGCUCUGAGAGGAGAAUCCCCACCACUGGUACUGAGACACGGACCAGACUCCUACGGGAGGCAGCAGUAAGGAAUAUUGGUCAAUGGGCGCAAGCCUGAACCAGCCAUGCCGCGUGCAGGAUGACUGCCCUAUGGGUUGUAAACUGCUUUUGUUAGGGAAUAAACCUUCUUACGUGUAAGGAGCUGAAUGUACCUAAAGAAUAAGGAUCGGCUAACUCCGUGCCAGCCGCCGCCGUAAUAC